rnacentral:rRNA from 1 species
AUUGAACGCUGGCGGCAUGCCUAACACAUGCAAGUCGAACGGCAGCACGGGUGCGUGCACCUGGUUGCGAGUGGCGAACGGGUGAGUAAUACAUGGGAACAUGUCCUGUAGUGGGGGAUAGCCCGGCGCAAGCCGGAUUAAUACCGCACACGAUCUACGGAAGAAAGCGGGGGGCCUUCCGGCCUCGCGCUUUCGGGCUGGUCGAUGGCGGAUUAGCUAGCUGGUGGGGUAAAGGCCUACCAAGGCGACGAUCAGUAGCUGGUCUGAGAGGACGACCAGCCACACUGGAACUGAGACACGGCCCAGACUCCUACGGGAGGCAGCAGUGGGGAAUUUUGGACAAUGGGCGAAAGCCUGAUCCAGCAAUGCCGCGUGUAUGAAGAAGGCCUUCGGGUUGUAAAGCACUUUUGUCCGGAAAGAAAUCCUUAGCCCUAAUACGGUCGGGGGAUGACGUUACCGGAAGAAUAAGCACCGGCUAACUACGUG